rnacentral:rRNA from 1 species
UACGUAGGGCGCGAGCGUUGUCCGGAUUUAUUGGGCGUAAAGAGCUCGUAGGCGGCUUGUCGCGUCGUCCGUGAAAACCAGGGGCUCAACCCCUGGCUUGCGGUCGAUACGGGCAGGCUAGAGUUCGGUAGGGGAGACUGGAAUUCCUGGUGUAGCGGUGAAAUGCGCAGAUAUCAGGAGGAACACCAGCGGCGAAGGCGGCUUUCUGGUCCGAUACUGACGCUGAGGCGCGAAAGCGUGGGGAGCAAACAGG